CACGGGAAUGUGCUUUUCCAGGAGCCGGUGCCCUCCAGCCCCAUGUCAGAUGGUUUGGCCACUCUUCAGAUCCAGCUGGCUUCACUUCUCUGUGUCCUGUGAAUAGAAGUGCUGGCUCCUCCUCGGCACAGAGGAGCCGAGACAGACAAACUGCAUCUGUCUCCGGAGCAGACGUUGGACCGGCGGUCCCAGCUUUGGAAGCCAGCUGUGGGAGCGAUAGAAAAACUUCGACCCCUCCCUCAGACUGAACCUGUUGGGCCGGCAGACUCCACCAACUUUCCCUCAGCAUUACCACCGACCAUCCUCUGUCUUGCUCAGGCUGCUUUGGCUCUGCAGAAUGAAAGUAGUUUAUGUAGUAAGUGAUCCCUGGAAAUGUGGAUGAGGGACAUGGAGCAGAAGACAAGAGGGAGAAGAAAACAGACAAAAGGGCAGAGUGACCUUCUGGAGCUUUAGAGGAAGCCCUCGAAGAGUUGUACGUUCUGGCCUCUGGAAGACUGGCUGGUGUGCACAAGAAGUGUCCACUGCUAAGAGGAUAUUGGGUGCCACAGCAAGAUUCUGAUGCAACGAGAAAAAUAAACCACAAUUUGUUUAAGCUCCUGGAGAAGGGCUUCCUGUGACUUGCAGCUAAAAGGAUCCUUAAGAAGAGAACACUGGAUGGCCUUGUACAAGGAAGAGUUUGUGCCCAGUUCUGUGCGAGAGAGCUUUCACGAUACACUUGAUUGCAGGCCAGCAUGCCCAGGCAAUACCAUUACCUUACCUGAAUGUACUCAUCCAUGAGGGAAGAAUCACAUCCAUUUUUAACUCACUGUUCAUCCUCUCUUACAAAAUGCAAGAAGCCAACAUAUCACAUAAGGCCCAGGCAGAAUUGUGAAAGCCUUUGUUCAUGCUGUUCUCUUCUCCUGAAACUUCUCUGGUUCCUCCACCUCCAUCCAAAGUCAGUGGAUCUCAAGGAUCACCUCUUCCAUAUUUUCAGACCUCAGUUGACCGCAGGUUACUGAAACUAUGGAAAGAGAAACCACAGAUAAGAGGGGACCAGUGUACAAGAGUCCAACCUGCAACAGCUUCCACCCCCUUCCAUACGGUUUCAUAUGGCAGUAUUAGCAUUGGAAGAUGCUGGAUCCUUGAAUCCCUGCUAAGAGGACAGUCACCGAGGAGCACCUCCAGAUCCUCCUCACACUGUGACUCAUCUUUGCAAGAAGACUGGAUGAGAAGUGGUACAUUUCCAUAAGCGAUCACAAGGGCAAUGCUACCAUCUUUCACAUUUAAAGAGUCAAGUUUCAUUUCCCUUGCUAGCAGGAAGGCCCUCAGCCCAGAUACCUCCAAUUAUUUUCUGUUUGACUUUGCAGACUAUUAAGCAAUGGAUUUGGCCACAGGCUCACCCAUCCUAAUGAUGUUUUUCUUGGACUAAUAUGACAAAUCAGCUGGCAAUUGCCGAGUAACCACAUGAUGACAACUUAGAGGAGGGGACAUGAAGGGUCCAGGUGUGAGACAAAUGGCAGGAAGAAACCAGAACGUGAUUGAGACAAUACUGAAUCUGCAGAGCUGUCAAGGUACCCUUGCAGAGUGCCUGUAAAUCGUUCUGUUGGAGGGUGUGACACAGAUGGAGUCUCUGUGGCUCUGAAGAAACCACCACUGUUCUUGGAAGACGAGUGGAAAAAAUGAGCAUUGGAGUUAUAGACGCCUGCAUCCAUCGAGGACUAAUUGGUUGUCCUGGCUUCCAUGGUGUCAGAAAGCCAAGUUCUAUGAUGAUGGGCCAGUGGAAAAGAAAACAUUAUCAGCCUCAGUGCCCAGAAAACCACCAUGCAAAAGAAGAGAGGGAAACAUUUGAAAGUUGUCUUGUUUUGAUUUUUUUCAUCUUGAAAAGGGGAAGUUCUGAUGGAACAUACAAUCUAAGUGGAUCAAAGAGAACUUUCUUGAAAUGUUAAUGAGAGCUCCCACUUCUUGUAAAUGUACACGCCCUGCCUUUCACUGUCUAAGCACGCUGCACAUACUUUAUCUUAUUGGAUCCUAAGAACUCUAAGAGGCAAAGGAUGCUUAUGAUCUCAGAUCCUGGUAACCAGUAAUCUUCUCUUUGACCAUAGAACUAUCUCUAACUCUAGCAGUGAGGGUGGGGGAUAGUGGGGUGGGAUGACAGCCAGAGAAUUAGACCUUGGUCCAUGUUCUUUUUCUCCACUGAUGUUGUCUUGGAUCCCUGCUGAAAACUGGGGAACCAGCAGUCUAUUCCUCUGCUGUUGCUGAGUGGAAAUGCUCAGGACCCUGCCUCUAGGUCAGUUCCUUUUUUUCAUAGUGAUGGAGAAGGGUUCAGUUCAAUCACUUAGCGUGUCUGACUCUUUGUGACCCCAAGGACUGCAGCAUA